CUACACAGCCAAAAAUCCACAGGCCUGUUUCAGGCCCGUGGGGAAAAUCAGUUGAAUACAGGCCGGAAUACGGGCCUGUAUGCGGAUGUAAUCGCCCACGGCCCGCUUACAUCCUGGAACCACAGGCCUGUUACAGCACGUACAUCCUGUCCUGAAUACGGACCGUAAAUAACGGGCCUGUUUCAGCCUGUACCACCCACGUCCUGCUUACAGCCUGUGCAGCCAGUGUAUGCGCAUGCGCAGAGAGAAAGUUGCUUAGCUACGAAAUCCACCAAGAGACUGAAAAGGUGCUUCAGUUUGAUGUUCUCGUUCAGUUGCAGCUUUAAAGGAUGGAUGGAGUAAUUAUAUUAUUUAUGGAGCUGACUGCCAAGGCCAGCUAGCAAGAAAAGAGAGAGAGAGGAACUGCUAGAUGUCUCUGCAAUUCUUCUUUCACUGUCUCUAGGAGUCUAGCUCUAUAGGCUACAAGAUCUGGUUGCCUCUGACGCAGGUUGUUGACUUCUUCUACAACGUUUAAUAUAAGAAUACACAUCUAAAAAGGACCUCUACAACGACUACUAUAUAAAUGUACCUGUGUCUAUGUCAUCAUUACUGUACUGAUGAGCUCGAGAUUGAGGUUCCUUGUCACACUACUUGAGAAUAUGUACAUAUAUAAAUUGGAAUGCUCAUGCCAUCAAUGAUUUCAACCCAUCAUGACCAGAAGCAUCGUGGACACACCUAUACUUUAGGAACUAUCAGAAUUUGGCAGUUAAGUUACUGGCUGUGGACAUGGCUGGUCUGUGACAGUACAAACAGUCAAACAAAAAAUGUAUAAUGUGACAGAGGACAUGGCUGGUCUGUGGACAGUACGAACAGUCGAACAACACAUUAUAUUGUGACAGAGGACAUGGCUGGUCUGUGGACAGUACGAACAGUCGAACAACACAUUAUAUUGGUAAGAAACAUUAUUUUCUUUGCAACGAUAUUCACUAUAUACACAGUGACAGAGGACAUGGCUGGUCUGUGGACAGUACGAACAGUCGAACAACACAUUAUAUUGUGACAGAGGACAUGGCUGGUCUGUGGACAGUACGAACAGUCGAACAACACAUUAUAUUGUGACAGAGGACAUGGCUGGUCUGUGGACAGUACGAACAGUCGAACAACACAUUAUAUUGUGACAGAGGACAUGGCUGGUCUGUGGACAGUACGAACAGUCGAACAACACAUUAUAUUGUGUGACAGAGGACAUGGCUGGUAGUACAAACAGUCAAACAGAAAAUUUAUAAAUUGACACACUCGAGCAGCACAAGCACUAGAAGAAACAUUCCUAUUAGUGUUGUAAACUGUCGAACUGUCUGGCUAUGUUUGUUUCUUAAAAAUUUUAACACUUCGUUGAAUUAUUCAUGCCAAACUCA